rnacentral:rRNA from 1 species
UACGUAGGGGGCAAGCGUUAUCCGGAUUUACUGGGUGUAAAGGGAGCGUAGACGGCAGCGCAAGUCUGGAGUGAAAUGCCGGGGCUCAACUCCGGGACUGCUUUUGAAACUGUGUGACUGGAGUGCAGGAGAGGUAAGCGGAAUUCCUGGUGUAGCGGUGAAAUGCAUAGAUAUCACGCAGAACUCCGAUUGCGAAGGCAGCAUACCGGCGCCCGACUGACGCUGAGGCACGAAAGCGUGGGUAUCGAACAGG